rnacentral:lncRNA from 1 species
GGUGUACAACAUGAUAUUUUGAAGUAUGUGUACCAUGUGGCUCAGGUAAAUCAGGCCCAGGAAAGUCACCUCUUUUUGUGGUGAAAUGACUUAAAUCUGAUGCUAGGCUUUGUUGCCGAGAGAUCUGUCUCUUGAACUGAUUCUUCCUAAUGCGUCACAGGGUUCUUGUGGCCUUUUCCCACGAUGUGACUAACGUUCGAGGUUCGCCCGGUAAGAAGUGAGCUCCAGGGGUUACCGCGGAGCAGCACCCUUCCCAGGAUCUCUACAAACUCACACUCAAGGGAAAUCCACUGCUCCGGCUCAGAUCAGCUUCCUGAAUUUCCAGUUCGAAUUGUGAAGAGCUCUGCUCCAACUAGGAGAUUGCCUAGUGUCAGUGAUAGGAGUUUUGUGUUCUCCAUAUUAGCAGAAUGGAUGCAAAGUAACUUCCAAGUGUGGAACAAGCAGACA